CAGCGAGCUCGGGAGUGUGGCCUUCUUCGCCCCGGGCCCCUCACGGCCUCGGCCCGCGCCGGGUGAGCCCGAGGGGCCCGGGAGCAGCCUCGGUCCCUACUCUGCGGACGCCAGGAGCCCUCGCCCUCGAGGCAGCCACCGGCUAGGCCACGUGGCCAUUCCGCAGCGACUCUUGCCCUGCCAACGAUGCGCCUGCAUGGCGGCGGCCUCCCCGACUCCACCGGCGCCCUCUCUCCAGGGCCGGGCCCACCGAGGAGUCCCAGCCAGGCCUUCGAGGACGCCUCGAAAGUGGCGGCGAGCGUGGCAUGGCGGGAAGAAUGGCAUCCACCUGAAGGCCAAGGCUGGGCCUUCGGGGCUUCUGCGGCCUGAGGCGGCGGGUCUGAGCAAGAACACUCUGCCAUCGCCGCCGGCUCGGGACGGGAAGCCCACCCGUGGCCGAGCACGCAGACCUGGAUGAACCGAGGCCUCGAUGGGCCUGGACGAAGGGUCCAGGAUGAAGGGCUACCUAAGAAGCACAGGUUGACUGAGAAACUCCGGAUAGGAAGGUUGACUUGAAUGACGACGCCUGUGGAAGCUUCUGGUGAGAUCCCCAUAGCGAAUCCGCUGGGAUCAACCACUUUCAGACCACAGGGGCACUGACCUGAAGGUGGGCUCUUCCAUCCCUACUUUUUCCUCUUUUCCAUCUCAUAAAACCCCAAGACCACCAAGCCAUUUCACAGAGAGACUGUGGCACUUCUGUCGUUCUGAUUAAAGGACACUUCUGCUUCUGGAGUUGCAUGUGUGCUUUGUUACAUUUCCAUGCUGCCUCCAUCAAACCAGAGCUAGCGCCCUCUAGUCGUUUUUUUUUUUUUAACGUUUU
rnacentral:lncRNA from 1 species